rnacentral:rRNA from 1 species
UACGGGAGGCAGCAGUGGGGAAUAUUGCACAAUGGGCGCAAGCCUGAUGCAGCAACGCCGCGUGAGCGAAGAAGGUCUUCGGAUCGUAAAGCUCUGUCCUCAGGAACGAAGAAGUGACGGUACCUAAGGAGGAAGCCCCGGCUAACUACGUGCCAGCAGCCGCGGUA